UGGUGGAGUGAUUUGUCUGGUUAAUUCCGAUAACGAACGAGACCUUAACCUGCUAAAUAGCCCGGCCGACUUUGGUUGGUCGCUGGCUUCUUAGAGGGACUAUCAGCGUUUAGCUGAUGGAAGUUUGAGGCAAUAACA
rnacentral:rRNA from 1 species